GGAGACGUCGCAUAGCGGUCUAGUGCGCUCGCUUGGAAAGCGAGUAUACCUGCAAGGGUAUCGAGAGUUCGAAUCUCUCCGUCUCCGCCA
rnacentral:tRNA from 1 species